GUGGGGAAUCUUCCGCAAUGGACGAAAGUCUGACGGAGCAACGCCGCGUGAGUGAAGAAGGUUUUCGGAUCGUAAAGCUCUUUCGUUAGGGACGAACGUGCUCUUUGUGAAUAAUGAGGAGUAAUGACGGUACCUAAAUAAGAAGCCACGGCUAACUACGUGCCAGCAGCCGCGGUAAUACGUAGGUGGCAAGCGUUGUCCGGAAUUAUUGGGCGUAAAGCGCGCGCAGGCGGGAUAUCAAGUCUGUCGUAAAAGUGCGAGGCUCAACCUCGUGAGGGGACAGAAACUGGUAUUCUUGAGUGUCGGAGAGGAAAGUGGAAUUCCAAGUGUAGCGGUGAAAUGCGUAGAGAUUUGGAAGAACACCAGUGGCGAAGGCGACUUUCUGGACGAUGUCUGACGCUGAGGCGCGAAAGCUAGGGGAGCGAACGGGAUUAGAUACCCGAGUAGUCC
rnacentral:rRNA from 1 species